CAUGCAAGUCGAGCGGAUGACGGGAGCUUGCUCCUUGAUUCAGCGGCGGACGGGUGAGUAAUGCCUAGGAAUCUGCCUGGUAGUGGGGGACAACGUUUCGAAAGGAACGCUAAUACCGCAUACGUCCUACGGGAGAAAGCAGGGGACCUUCGGGCCUUGCGCUAUCAGAUGAGCCUAGGUCGGAUUAGCUAGUUGGUGAGGUAAUGGCUCACCAAGGCGACGAUCCGUAACUGGUCUGAGAGGAUGAUCAGUCACACUGGAACUGAGACACGGUCCAGACUCCUACGGGAGGCAGCAGUGGGGAAUAUUGGACAAUGGGCGAAAGCCUGAUCCAGCCAUGCCGCGUGUGUGAAGAAGGUCUUCGGAUUGUAAAGCACUUUAAGUUGGGAGGAAGGGCAUUAACCUAAUACGUUAGUGUUUUGACGUUACCGACAGAAUAAGCACCGGCUAACUCUGUGCCAGCAGCCGCGGUAAUACAGAGGGUGCAAGCGUUAAUCGGAAUUACUGGGCGUAAAGCGCGCGUAGGUGGUUUGUUAAGUUGGAUGUGAAAGCCCCGGGCUCAACCUGGGAACUGCAUCCAAAACUGGCAAGCUAGAGUACGGUAGAGGGUGGUGGAAUUUCCUGUGUAGCGGUGAAAUGCGUAGAUAUAGGAAGGAACACCAGUGGCGAAGGCGACCACCUGGACUGAUACUGACACUGAGGUGCGAAAGCGUGGGGAGCAAACAGGAUUAGAUACCCUGGUAGUCCACGCCGUAAACGAUGUCAACUAGCCGUUGGAAUCCUUGAGAUUUUAGUGGCGCAGCUAACGCAUUAAGUUGACCGCCUGGGGAGUACGGCCGCAAGGUUAAAACUCAAAUGAAUUGACGGGGGCCCGCACAAGCGGUGGAGCAUGUGGUUUAAUUCGAAGC
rnacentral:rRNA from 1 species